rnacentral:rRNA from 1 species
CACGCCGUAAACGAUGAGUGCUAGGUGUCGGGGGUCGAACCUCGGUGCCGGAGUUAACACAUUAAGCACUCCGCCUGGGGAGUACGUGCGCAAGCAUGAAACUCAAAGGAAUUGACGGGGACCCGCACAAGCAGCGGAGCAUGUGGUUUAAUUCGAUGCAACGCGAAGAACCUUACCAGGGCUUGACAUCCCUCUGACAGGAUUAGAGAUAGUCUAUUUUCUUCGGAAACAGAGGAGACAGGUGG